UUGUGCCUAGACGCCGAGGACUCGAAACUUCAGUGCUUAAUAAUGAGGCUCUCCGGCUGCAUCACCAUUAUACUUGUCCUGGCAAUCUGCGCUGUUUUUAUGCCGAGAAUUGAAAAAGAGGGUCCCAACUCCGUUAUGGAAUUCGGACUUCCUGGGGCAAGUGCAGGAAGAAAUGGUCAGAGAGUACAAUCAGGACUUCCUGGGCCAGGUGCACGAACAAAUGGUGAGAGACGAAGAAGGAAUGCUCCCAUGACAUUCACCAAAAAAGUGACACGACCAACCAGACAAAGAAACCGUCGUAGCCCAUCGACGUGAAGAUGAUCACCGGACGACCCUCCAGCCGUAGCCGGGAGCAGCAGAUGUCCAAGAUUGUUGUAAAAUCUUGGAUAACCCUAAUGAAUUCCUUCGUUUGACCUCUGAUCGCCGUCGAGCAAACUAAUGUGCUGAAUAAAGUUAUAACAAGUGUUUAUCA
rnacentral:lncRNA from 1 species